CAUUAUAUUUCCGUUGGACAGCUCUGAGCUAGACGUAGGGUCCUGGUCCUGAGAGAAGUCUCAGUUCAGUAGUGGGGUUUUACUCUAGGCCUCUCCAUUCUUCCUUCUCCAUCCUUCUUACUCCUCUCUCCCUGAGGUGGGGAAGGUAUUAGGGACCUAAUUGUAUCUCUCUAGAAUGUUUAAUUGUAAAAGAGCAGAGGUCAUGUGGAUGCUUCACAUAAAGGAGUGACUCACUGUCAUUGCAUUUCAGGCAUCAGUGACGGAGAUAUUUGACCUUCUAGGAGUCUCUGUUGAUAGGUGCUGGUGGCAUCCUUCCUGGAUUUCCAGGAUUGUCCCAAUUUACAUGUUUUGACCAUGUUUGAGGCCAGUGUGGGCCAGUUGAUUUUCCUUGUUCUAAUCCUCACCCAGCCUUCUUCACGACAUGACAAAGUGGAACAGAUUAGCCCUGAGCUAACAUCUGCCACAAAUCCUCCUCUUUUUGCUGAGGAAGACUGGCCUCGAGCUAACAUCCAUGCCCAUCUUCCUCUACUUUAUAUGCAAGACGCCUACCACAGCAAGGCUUGCCGAGCAGUGCCAUGUCCGCACCCAGCAUCCAAACCGGCGAACCCUGGGCCGGCGAAGCAGAACGUGCGAACUUAACCUCUGCGCCACAGGGCCAGCCUCUCCCCUACCGUCUUUUAAUUCACUUAGUUUAACUGUCACACCACCAGAAGCAGAGAUGAAAAUCUGUGCCUUUGGGAAAAGCUACCAAAACGGAACCUGCAAAAUGCAAACAACAAGCAGGUAUCCAUCCAUUGUUCUUGGAGACAACUGUGAAGACAACUGCGGGCAAUUGUAAAGCAUCUGAAAGCUUAAUAUGUUAAGCCUUUCAUUCAGGGAUACAAAUUGGGAGUAUCAUUAGCAGGACUAUGUGCUUUUCGAGCAAGAGAGCAGUUUUUUGUUUUCUGUUUUUCUAAUUGCAAAUGUAGACUAGAGUGUCCUUGAAAGUGAUGGUUCUUGGAAGGUGCAUGUGUAUUUUUGUUAAAGCAUUUACUCAUGGGAGAUUGGAAGAUGCGUGUGUAUUUUUGUUAAAGCAUUUACUCAUGGGAGAUUGUAAGACUAGACCACAGGCAGGAUAAUGUGCAGGUCUGAACUCUUCCUCCCAUGCUAGAAAAGCUGUGAAAAGGACUUAGAGUGUGUGAAGUAAUAGAAAAUGUAUAUAUUGGUCUCUGCCCCUGGUUCCUGGCACAGAGAUCCUAAAACCCUUGUAAUUUCCUAAGUGAUAGGAGUGUCUUUUGUUCCAAUGAGGAAAUGCUUGGUGGGCUCCUGAUGGGGGCCAGUCAUCAGAAAGACCAAGUCAUGAUUAGAACUUUGGAACUUUCUGCCCCAUCCAUUAUCCUCCAGGAAAGGGAGAGAGGCUGGAAAUUGACUUAAUGAUCAAUCAUACCUACGUAUGAACCCUCCAUAAAAAUCCCAAAAGUACAGGGUUUGGAGAGCUUUUGGGUUGCUGAAGAAUGGAGGUACUGGGAGGGUGAUGCAAGGACAUGGAAGCUCUGCAUCCCUUCCCAUAUAUGUUGCCUUACACAUCUCUUUCAUCUGUAUCUGUG
rnacentral:lncRNA from 1 species